UGGGAAAAAAAAAGGAUUACUGCAACAUUUAAGUCUCUUUAUUACAUUGUAAAUAAAGGUCAGUAACUUUCCUUUUAGGAAAAGGUAAUCAUAUUCUUAUUAAAGGAUCUUGGAUUCUAAAAUGUUUUGACUCGUAAUGCUUGUAUGGAGGUCCUAGAUAGUAGAAAAAAGAUGUCAUAAUUUGAUUUUUGAAUGCUAUAUUAUGAAAAUGUCUCUUCCUUUCUGUUGUUUCAGUUUGGCUAUUAAAGCUUAAGAAGGUAGAUAUAUGCAUGUUCAUGUUAGUUUCAAGUAAAUACUGAUACAUUUUUUGUGUAAUGCAGAGAAUCCAUAUAUUGGAAGCACUAAAGGCCUUUAGUGAUAUGGGAAUGACUGGAGCAAUCAAAGGGUAACAUUGCGAACAGAGAAAGGAUGUAUACAAAACACAGGUGUGGUUCUAGGUCAAUCCCUGUUAGAGUAGAAAAAUUGAUUGGAUUGGGGUGGCAUUUUUGACGUGCAACAAUGAUCUAAUUUGCUUGAAUGUCCAUUUUUGUUUGAUAAGAUUACACAUACUUUGUGGAGUUGCACUAGUUGUUGUUGGAUUUUUGGUAAAAUUGAACAAGUUAUAACUUUUGGAUAUUUUGUGGAUAUUUCACUAUUUUAUUGUAUUAGGAUGAAAUUAUUUGUGAUGAUGAAUGGAUAUUUUCAUUUUGUUAAUU